rnacentral:rRNA from 1 species
UACGAAGGGUGCAAGCGUUACUCGGAAUUACUGGGCGUAAAGGGUGCGUAGGCGGUUCCGCAAGUCCUGUGUGAAAUCUUCGGGCUCAACUCGAAGUCUGCACGGGAAACUGCGGGGCUUGAGUGUGGGAGAGGUGAGUGGAAUUCCCCGGUGUAGCGGUGAAAUGCGUAGAUAUCGGGAGGAACACCUGUGGCGAAAGCGGCUCACUGGACCAUAACUGACGCUGAUGCACGAAAGCUGGGGGAGCAAACAGG